GUGGUGGCUUCGCGAUGCGGCUGCGGGCGGCCGCUCCUGCACAGCCGGGACGCGGCCCCUCUUCCGGUGGCCCGUACACGUCCGCACCUCCGCCGCGCUGACCGCCCCCCUGCCCCCGGGAAGCCGGGAGAGAGGCGCCAGCUGGCGACGGGCCCCGCACCCCAGGAGCGCCCCGAGGCCCCGACAGGUCUGUGGGUUAGAAGUCCGUCGUGGGCUUCAGUGGGCUAAAAUCGAGGUCUCGGCAAGCCGGCCAUGCUUCCUGCAGGCUCUAGAGGACCAUCUGUGUCUUUGUCCUCUGCAAGCUCCUAGAGGCGCCCACAUUCCUUGGCUGGUGGCUUCUUCCUCCAUCUUCAAAGUCAGCAACCUUCUUCCAAAGUCACAGCUCCCUCUGCGUCUCCCCCGUCCCCCUCUUCCACUUGUAAGGUCCCUUGUGAUCACAUUGCACCUACUCAGAUAAUCCCCGGGGGGUUUCCCUAUCUUAAGGUCAGCUGAUUGGCAACCUUAGUUCCAUCUCCAAUCUUGAUUGCCUUUUGCCAUGUAACACAGUGGAUUCACCGGCUCCCGGGAACAGGACAAGGAUGUCGUCGGGGGGCUGCCAUUCUGCCCACCACGGUCCCUAUGAACUAUAUUGUGACAGGAAGCCAGAGAGUAACCGUGGUCCUGAGACAGGACAGGGAAGGUCUGCUGCUUGGACGCUCUGCAGGCACGGACAGGAGGAGAAAGCCAUGGCCAGUCAGCCGUUACACGCCACAGUGCCAGAGGCUGUGUGGAUCUGCUGCAGUGGAGACGCCACUUCCAGCCUGGCAGCCCUGAUUGCUUCUGCUGCCUGUAGCCUGGUGUUUCUCUGACUACACAAACUGAGCAAUAUCCCGUAGACUGCCCUGCAUCUCGCCCCGGGUCAAGGCCUCCUGACCGCCACCCUGCCUGCUGCCUAUCGCGAUACCAUCUUACCUCUGAGAGUUAAGUGCUGCUGCUUAGCCUCUUCUGUUCUGGAAUCCCGUCACCCCAUUGAUGUUAGGGCAGUGAAUCUGGCCUCCCCAGUACCAGCCCAGCCUCCAGAGGAGAGCCACCACUGAGCUCACGGGUGUGUUUUUUCAUUGUUUUGA